rnacentral:rRNA from 1 species
UACGUAGGGUGCAAGCGUUAAUCGGAAUUACUGGGCGUAAAGCGUGCGCAGGCGGUUUUUUAAGUCAGAUGUGAAAGCCCCGGGCUCAACCUGGGAAUUGCAUUUGUGACUGCAAGGCUAGAGUACGGCAGAGGGGGAUGGAAUUCCGCGUGUAGCAGUGAAAUGCGUAGAUAUGCGGAGGAACACCAAUGGCGAAGGCAAUCCCCUGGGCCUGUACUGACGCUCAUGCACGAAAGCGUGGGGAGCAAACAGG